rnacentral:rRNA from 1 species
UACGUAGGGUGCAGGCGUUAAUCGGAAUUACUGGGCGUAAAGAGCGCGCAGGCGGUCGUUCAAGUCGCGUGUGAAAGCCCCCGGCUCAACUGGGGAGGGUCACGCGAUACUGAUCGACUCGAAGGCAGGAGAGGGUAGUGGAAUUCCCGGUGUAGUGGUGAAAUGCGUAGAUAUCGGGAGGAACACCAGUGGCGAAGGCGACUACCUGGCCUGUUCUUGACGCUGAGGCGCGAAAGCUAGGGGAGCAAACGGG